CCUACGGGGGGCAGCAGUGGGGAAUAUUGGACAAUGGGCGAAAGCCUGAUCCAGCAAUGCCGUGUGUGUGAAGAAGGCCUUAGGGUUGUAAAGCACUUUUAGUUGGGAAGCGUUACCAACAGAAAAAGCACUGGCUAACUCUGUGCCAGCAGCCGCGGUAAUACAGAGAGUGCAAGCGUUAAUCGGAAUUACUGGGCGUAAAGCGCACGUAGGUGGAAUCUUAAGUCAGAUGUGAAAUCCCCGAGCUUAACUUGGGAAUUGCAUUUGAUACUGGGAUUCUAGAGUAUGGUAGAGGGAAGUGGAAUUUCCGGUGUAGCGGUGAAAUGCGUAGAUAUCGGAAAGAACACCAGUGGCGAAAGCGGCUUCCUGGACCAAACUGACACUUAGGUGCGAAAGCGUGGGGAGCAAACAGGAUUAGAUACCCUUGUAGUC
rnacentral:rRNA from 1 species